AAAGUCGUAACAAGGUUUCCGUAGGUGAACCUGCGGAAGGAUCAUUAACGAGAAGGUGUUUCUUUUGUGAACACGCUCUCCACCCUUGACUUCUGACAUGUUGCCUCGGUGGGACGCAUCGGACGCAAGUCGCCUGGUGUUGCUUCUGCAUUGGUGUCUUGGGACGAAAGUCCCGGCCGAUGCAGAAGGUCUGCCCGCCGAGAUUUAUACUCUUGUGUACCUUGCAGUCUGAGACAAACAAACAAAUCAAUCAAAACUUUCAACAACGGAUCUCUUGGUUCUG
rnacentral:misc_RNA from 1 species